rnacentral:snoRNA from 1 species
GGGUCAUUUCAAAGAGAGCUUGUGGGACCAAAACCAGGAGCUCUUAGUGCUGUGGCCUAAGAUUGAAGUUCUCCAUAGGAUAUAACAGG